UGAGGAAUAUUGGUUCAUGGGCGAGAGCCUGAACCAGCCAAGUCGCGUGAAGGAAGAAGGUCUUAUGGAUUGUAAACUUCUUUAGCAGAGGGAUAAAGGUUAUUACGAGAUAAUAAUUUGCAGGUACUCUGCGAAAAAGGAUCGGCUAACUCCGUGCCAGCAGCCGCGGUAAU
rnacentral:rRNA from 1 species